AGUGAACGCUGGCGGUAGGCCUAACACAUGCAAGUCGAACGGCAGCACAGUAAGAGCUUGCUCUUACGGGUGGCGAGUGGCGGACGGGUGAGGAAUACAUCGGAAUCUACUUUUUCGUGGGGGAUAACGUAGGGAAACUUACGCUAAUACCGCAUACGACCUACGGGUGAAAGCAGGGGAUCUUCGGACCUUGCGCGAUUGAAUGAGCCGAUGUCGGAUUAGCUAGUUGGCGGGGUAAAGGCCCACCAAGGCGACGAUCCGUAGCUGGUCUGAGAUGAUGAUCAGCCACACUGGAACUGAGACACGGUCCAGACUCCUACGGGAGGCAGCAGUGGGGAAUAUUGGACAAUGGGCGCAAGCCUGAUCCAGCCAUACCGCGUGGGUGGAGAAGGCCUUCGGGUUGUAAAGCCCUUUUGUUGGGAAAGAAAAGCAGCAGGUUAAUACCCCGCUGUUCUGACGGUACCCAAAGAAUAAGCACCGGCUAACUUCGCG
rnacentral:rRNA from 1 species